rnacentral:ncRNA from 1 species
CCCGCCGAAUUUAAGCAUAUAAUUCAGCGGAGGAAAAGAAAUCAAAUGAGAUUCCCUGAGUAACGGCGAGUGAAAAGGGAUGAGUCCGGCGCAAAGGUUUUCCAUUGAAAGGUGGAAAGCGGUGCUGCGUAAUGGCUAGAGUCACGAUUAUUUCAACUAAAUCUGCAAGUCCCUCUGACAAGGGCCCUCUUCCCAGAGACGGUUCUAGGCCGGUGGCAGAUCUUGGUUAAUGGAAUAUCGAUUACUGGCUUUAGUCGCGGAUAGAGUCAGAUUGCUUGAGAGUGCAAUCCAAAUUAGGAGGUAAACUCCUCCUAAGACUAAAUACGAUGGUAAUAUCGAUAGCAAACAAGUACCGUGAGG